GUCGAACGGUGAAGCCAAGCUUGCUUGGUGGAUCAGUGGCGAACGGGUGAGUAACACGUGAGCAACCUGCCCUGGACUCUGGGAUAAGCGCUGGAAACGGCGUCUAAUACUGGAUAUGAGCUCUCAUCGCAUGGUGGGGGUUGGAAAGAUUUUUCGGUCUGGGAUGGGCUCGCGGCCUAUCAGCUUGUUGGUGAGGUAAUGGCUCACCAAGGCGUCGACGGGUAGCCGGCCUGAGAGGGUGACCGGCCACACUGGGACUGAGACACGGCCCAGACUCCUACGGGAGGCAGCAGUGGGGAAUAUUGCACAAUGGGCGGAAGCCUGAUGCAGCAACGCCGCGUGAGGGAUGACGGCCUUCGGGUUGUAAACCUCUUUUAGCAGGGAAGAAGCGAGAGUGACGGUACCUGCAGAAAAAGCGCCGGCUAACUACGUGCCAGCAGCCGCGGUAAUACGUAGGGCGCAAGCGUUAUCCGGAAUUAUUGGGCGUAAAGAGCUCGUAGGCGGUUUGUCGCGUCUGCUGUGAAAUCCCGAGGCUCAACCUCGGGCCUGCAGUGGGUACGGGCAGACUAGAGUGCGGUAGGGGAGAUUGGAAUUCCUGGUGUAGCGGUGGAAUGCGCAGAUAUCAGGAGGAACACCGAUGGCGAAGGCAGAUCUCUGGGCCGUAACUGACGCUGAGGAGCGAAAGGGUGGGGAGCAAACAGGCUUAGAUACCCUGGUAGUCCACCCCGUAAACGUUGGGAACUAGUUGU
rnacentral:rRNA from 1 species